rnacentral:rRNA from 1 species
GACGAACGCUGGCGGCGUGCCUAACACAUGCAAGUCGAACGAGGUCCAUGAGAGCUUGCUCUCGGACGACCUAGUGGCGAACGGGUGAGUAACACGUGAGAAACCUGCCUCGGAGUGGGGAAUAACUCGGGGAAACUCGAGCUAAUACCGCAUACCUUCAGAUGAUCGCAUGGUCGACUGAAGAAAGAAUUUCGCUCUGAGAGGGUCUCGCGGCCUAUCAGCUAGUUGGUGGGGUAACGGCCUACCAAGGCAACGACGGGUAGCUGGAUUGAGAGAUCGAGCAGCCACACUGGGACUGAGACACGGCCCAGACUCCUACGGGAGGCAGCAGUGGGGAAUCUUGCGCAAUGGGCGAAAGCCUGACGCAGCAACGCCGCGUGCGGGAUGACGGCCUUCGUGGUUGUAAACCGCUUUCAGCAGGGACGAAAUUGACGGUACCUGCAGAAGAAGCCCCGGCUAACUACGUGCCAGCAGCCGCAGUAACAC